rnacentral:rRNA from 1 species
AACGAACGCUGGCGGCAGGCCUAACACAUGCAAGUCGAACGAGACCUCCGUGUCUGCUUGCGCACACGUGCGUAGCGCGUCGGAACCUGCCGUUAGACUCGGAAUAACUCCCCGACGGGGGUGCUAACACCGGGUAAUGUCUUCUGACCACAUAUUUAUCGCCUUUGGAUGGGCCGGCGAUGUUUUAGCCAGGUGGUAGGGUAAAAGCCUAUGAAGGCGACGCUACAUAGCUGGGCUGAGAGGAUGAGCAGCGACACUGAGAGUGAGACACGGUCGAGAAUAUUACGGGAGGCGGCAGUGGGGAAUAUUGGAAUACCGGGGAAAGCAUGAUGGAGCUAUGCCGCGUGAGUGAUGAAGGCCUGAGGGUUGUAAAGCUGUUUUACACGCGAUGAUAAUGACAGUACCGGGAGAAUAAGCUCCGGCUAACUUCGUG